UGCCCCGUAGUUCAGUUGGUAGAACGGCUCACUGUUAAUGAGACGGUCGCUGGUUCGAGUCCAGCCGGGGCAGUCA
rnacentral:tRNA from 1 species